rnacentral:rRNA from 1 species
GACGAACGCUGGCGGCGUGCUUAACGCAUGCAAGUGGAGCGACGAACCAGGGCUUGCCCUGGGGCAGAGCCGCGAACGGGUGAGUAACACGUGGGUAACGUGCCCCGAUGACUGGGACAACCCGGGGAAACCCGGGCUAAUACCGGAUGUGCCCCCUCACAUCAGUGAGGUGUGUAAAGGAAGCUUCGGCCUCCGCAUCGGGAUCGGCCCGCGGCCCAUUAGCUUGUUGGUGAGGUAACGGCUCACCAAGGCUGCGAUGGGUUGCUGGUCUGAGAGGACGAUCAGCCACACUGGGACUGAGACACGGCCCAGACUCCUACGGGAGGCAGCAGUGGGGAAUCUUGCGCAAUGCGCGAAAGCGUGACGCAGCAACGCCGCGUGGGGGAAGACGGCCUUCGGGUUGUAAACCCCUUUCAGUUGGGACGAAGGUCGGGCGGUUAACAGCCGUUCCGGCUGACGGUACCUUCACAAGAAGCCCCGGCUAACUACGUG